UACACAGAGAAAGUUACCUUUCAAGAUACGAGCCGAAAUCGCAUGCAAAUAAUCGCUUCCUAUGU
rnacentral:tRNA from 1 species